GACGAACGCUGGCGGCGUGCUUAACACAUGCAAGUCGAACGGUGAAGCGCUUUCCUUUUUGGUUGGUGUGGAUGAGUGGCGAACGGGUGAGUAACACGUGAGUAACCUGCCCCCUUCUUCUGGAUAACCGCAUGAAAGUGUGGCUAAUACGGGAUAUUCUGCGCCUGCUGCAUGGUGGGUGUGGGAAAGAUUGUGCCUUUGGGUGUUUUCGGUGGGGGAUGGGCUCGCGGCCUAUCAGCUUGUUGGUGGGGUGAUGGCCUACCAAGGCGGUGACGGGUAGCCGGCCUGAGAGGGUGGACGGUCACACUGGGACUGAGACACGGCCCAGACUCCUACGGGAGGCAGCAGUGGGGAAGAUUGCACAAUGGGCGCAAGCCUGAUGCAGCGACGCCGCGUGAGGGAUGGAGGCCUUCGGGUUGUGAACCUCUUUCGCCAGUGAAGCAGGCCUGCUCCUUGUGGGUGGGUUGACGGUAGCUGGAGAAGAAGCGCCGGCUAACUACGUG
rnacentral:rRNA from 1 species